AGUGGCACUGAUGGUGGAGUAGAGGCAUGGAAGCCUGAAUCUUUUUGAAAAUCCUCUCUAACCAACUUUAAAAUAAGCUUCAAAAUGAAUACUAGAGUGGCAAAACCAACAGAGGGAUGGAGUGAAGCAAUCUUCCCACAGAAGACAACUUCAAAGUAAAGAAACAACUGGGAGUUGAAGCCAUCAUUAAUCAAGAUUUUAACAGGAACAUCUAAAGACUCUCUACAAGCAACAUGGAACCAAAGAAGCAAAUUUACUAAAGAAGAAAUGUAUCCCUGAUUGUCAGAGAAAAGAUGGUUUCUGGAACUCAGAUAACUACAUGGGACAUGUGAGAUCUGAGAUAAAGUUUUGUUGACACUGGAGAUAAGCUACUAAAAUGCAAAGAAGCCUGAUGUUAGUUAAUGUUAUUGUUAUUGUAUCCUCUUUGCU